UCGUUAUGUAACUUUUUUUUGUGUUUAAGGAUUCAGAAAUUAUAUUUCUGAUGUUUAUUUGAAGACACUAUAAUAGCGAAAAACGCGUGCUUUUUAUAGCGUCAAGCAUGACGUUACGUCUUUAAAAGAGCCUUCAAGUAAAUUACAUAUUAACUAUAUUGUUAUCUAUGAAAUUGAAUGUAUUUGUCAUUAAAUUGAAGUUAAAGAUAAGUUCAUUAUCAGAAUUUAAUCGAGAAAGAAACGGAAUUGAAUUUUUUUUUACCCGAAUGGCACACCUUAGUUUCCGUAAAGUCGGCCAUUGUGACACGAUUUCGCACGGUGACAAACAGGAUUGUACAGCGACAAAUGCAAAGGAUUUCAUCGACGCAUUUGUAAAGAUACCAACAGAGUCUGAUUAAUCACUAGAAGAAGAAAAAUGAACUCAGUUACUCCUCUACCUCACUGUCAUCACUGUCCUCAGAUUCGUCAAUGACAGCUGCAUCAGUGACAAACUCCGACCAGUCUUGAAUAGACGAAAUAGCCUCCCUGUUGUGUCUCCCAACAGCGAGAAACCAGAUAACGGCGGCGACAUGGGAACAUACUCCCACAACACGGGCACCCGCUCGACAUCUGCAAUACCAUGCAGUGAUAUCAGACUCGGAAAACUGGAUCCAGAGCAGAUACUGUCGGGAAGAAACAUGACGACUCUGUAGCUUGACCCUGAUAAGCCCAUGGAACUCACUGUGAACCAAGAUAUCCACAUCCCCCUCCAAAUACUCCUGAAUAUAACUUGGACACAACUUCAGUUGAUAAACUCCACAGGUCAGAUUUCGUAUGUCAUCUUCGCUGAUGUUGGGGAAUUCCAAAGAAUCAGUAGCCACUUCCCACUUUACAGACUUCUUAUCCAGACAGUUUUCUUCAACAAAUGUCUUUAAAGAGUUAACUUUUGUUGACAAAUACCUCAUUUUGCAUGCAAGGGCCAUGUCUUCAUCUUCACUUCCUGUCGACAGAGGCUUGCAGUAACGGUUGGAGAGGGCACACACGAUGCGCACAUAGUCACCGAUAAAUGGCACUUGAUUGGUUGGAAGAACAUGAGCAAGGUACUUCCAUCGCUUUAUCCUUGCAUUGGCUGCCUCAACAACCCAACGAAUCUGAAAAGUUAAGAACAAGCACCACUCAUAAAAAAGGUCUGGUAAUCAAAAUAUGAAAACAACUAACCUUGGUGACCAGACGAGAGGCAUUGGCAUCUAAGGUUGUCAUCUGCUUCUGCCCUCUGCUCAUCAGGCGAGGCAUUUCGGCCCUUAUUCCCAGCUCCUCGAGCAUAUCGACUGAAUCUCGGAAGCCUCUGUCUACAACAAAAACAUCAUCUUCAUGGAACCAGCCCUUCAGAUCUUCUACAUUGGUAUGAAGCAUAUGGUUGAGGAUAGUGGCAUCAUUAUUCCUAGCUAGUCCAAGAUGAUGUGGUACAAAUGACUUCAUGAGUGCUGUACGGACUGAUUUUACUGCUCUACAGAGGGAAGACUUUGAAAUUCCAAAAAUCGUGGCCAGAAGUUGAUUUGACAUUCCUGAUCUCAGUUUCAGAAGAAAGAUUCCAAGUGACAUCCUUGUGCCUCGGUUUUGUGUGUUUCGAAUAUCACUGGAAAUAAAGGAAUGGAGGUCUUCAAAGUUUUCUUUAGAGAUACCAGUCAGUGCCAUAUAAUCACUGUUGCUCAUGGUAGACAGUUCAAAAGAAAAUCUGCUUGUUGAGGUCUGGAGGGCAUAAUUUCGUAUUUUUUGGA